rnacentral:rRNA from 1 species
UACGAGUGCCUCAAGCGUUAUCCGGAAUCAUUGGGCGUAAAGGAUGUGUAGGUGGUUAUAUUAGUCUCUUGUUAAAUUCUUCGGCUUAACCGGGGGCAUGCAAGGGAAACGGUAUAACUAGAGGAUGCGAGGGGUCUGCGGAACUCAUAGUGUAGCGGUGAAAUGCGUAGAUAUCAGGAGGAACGCCGGAGGCGAAAGCGAGUGACUGGCGCGUUCCUGACGCUGAGGUGCGAAAGCUAGGGGAGCAAACAGG